CUCUGGAUGAAUCCAUGAAUGAGGGAGGUCCUGUGUGGCUAACGAUUCCAUCCAGUCUACCUCUACCUCCCGACAUACAGCAUAAUUGAGAAGAGAGGAUUCUACUUCUAUCAGAAUCCACAUAAUUACACACUAUUUUUUAACAGUGUUCUACCUUAAAAGUAGCAAUAUAAAAUUGCAGUAGUUGCAGAAUAUUUUACUCUUGGGCCUGAUAAAACAUUAAACCAGAAGCUAUUCUAAAACAGCUGCCUGUCCCAACAGUUUCAGUCAAUUUUUGCAUCUGGAACAGAACGGGGAAAAUGCCAAGCAUACUUUCACCACUUACAUAUUAAUUAACUGUGUGUGUACUACAUCUUCUACCAAAACUGCUGUUUCAUGAAGAGGCCUCCUGGCAUCACCUAAAGAAAACCUGCAAAGAAAAUCAAAACAUCAAUAUUAAGUUAUCAAGAAUGGAUGACAGAACUGAUCUUAGAAGUCUUCUUCUCAAUGUUCAUAUUUUGGACUACACGUGCAGAGAACAUUUGAAAAGAAAGGGAAAAAUCUGAACAUGGAGACAGACACACAGAGGGAAGACCAUGCGAAGACACACAGGGACAAGAGAGCAACGUGACCAGGGUAAGGCAACUACAUCCCAAGGAAUGUCAAGGAUUGCUCUGCAAACACCAGAAGCUGGAAGGCACAGGAAGGAUUCUCCCCUGGAGCCUAUGGAGAGAGAGAACACAGCCCUGCUGACAACUUGAUUUUGGACUUUUAGCCUCCAGAGCUGUGAAACAAUGAGUGAUUUUUAUGGUUUUCAGUCACCCAGUUUUUGACAUUCUGUUACAGAGGCUCUAGAAAACUAAUGUACGAACAUAACAAAGUAUCAAGGAUGUUUUUCACUUUGUAAGACUAUCAUUACAGCACUCAAAUAACAUGUUGGGAUUUAAUGAAUAAAAUAUUAAGCCCAAAACAAAAUAAAGUGUGCAUUAAAACUGUCACGUUAAAAUCAGGUUGACUUUCUUUGCAUGACACAGCUAUCAAACAGGUCAUUCCUUGUUUGUUUGGUUUUUUUCCUCAAUCCCUCAAACCAGAUGUUCUUUGGCUAAGGUGGACAGCUAUCAAGCAGAGAGAAAGGUGUCAGGUGAAAGUUUCCUGAAUGAAGCAACUGAGUAAUUAAGUUGCUGCAAUCAGAGGCCCUGGAGUCCUAAAUGCCCAAAUGGCAUAUCUACUCAUUAAGCAUAGUGUGCUCAAGGGAAAUCUAAGAAAUCACCACUAAGGCCACAUUCUUUCGAAAUGGGAGGAACAUAGCACUAGGAAAUUCAUUUGGAGCCAUGUCGGUUAUUUUUCUUUUUCGAGAUGGAACUUCACAUUAAAGAAUAAAAGAAACCUUUUCUUCCAGCAAACAAAAGCAUACCUACCUUACAAGAGUUCUUUCUUAUAGUAGUUACGCUGUAACAUUUUCAUUAAAUAGUCUGUUAAUGCUUUAGAUGUGAGUACAGCCAUACUUUAGAAAAAAAAUAAUAAUAAUCGGAGCACUGUCUCGGAUCGAGGCCAUUCAGUAAAAUUAAAAGUCAGUCGGCAACAUCAAGGCGACCACAGAGUUGUUAGAUUGGCUCUAUGUUAUUUAACCUGUAUACAGUGUAUCAUUUAACUUUGGUUUAUACAAUGUAGAACAUGUUAAGAGUAUUAAGAACUCAAAUUAUAAGAUACCAUUUACUAUCUUCAUUUAAGUUUUGAUAGAACAUCUUCGAAAAUGUGAGUUUGCUAGGAAUGAAAGCUUGAGUUCCCGCUGUGGUGCAACAGGAGUGGUGGCGUCUUGGGGAGCAUUGGAUCUCCGGCCUGGCACAGUGGGUUAAGGAUCCGGCAUUGCCACAGCUACAGCUUAGGAGACAACUAUGACUCGCAUCUGAUCCCCAGCCUGGGAACUCCAUAUGCCACAGGGUAGCCAAAAGAGAGAGCGAGAGAGAGGAAGGGAGGGAGGAAGAAAAAGCUGGUGGAUCUAGGCCAUAUUUAGCUGUUAAAACUCCUUAUUUUCUUUUCCCUUCUCAGGUUUCCAAUUUACACAAACACUUCUGUUUUCCCAAUGUACUCUUUCCUAUAAUGUUUAGAAUUAACAAGGUGGAAGGUUCUAUCUAAGCCACUUGCCAUGGUCCCAAGAUUAUAAUGACCUAUAAUGGACUAUAAUAGACUAAAAAGUUCCUUCUUUUUCUUAUCUUAGUCCAUUACAUUACUAGGGCAAAUAUUAGAAUUGGGGAAAUGUAUAAAAAGACCCCUGAGGUAGUAAAUCAGUAGAGGCAUACAGAUCUAGGAGACACGGAUUCCAUUUACAUUCAAAGUAGGAGUUGAGAUUUCUACAAUCAAUCAAUCGAUAAACCUUAAU